UUUACAAAGGAGGACAAAAAAAAGAGUGAGACAAAAGUUAAGUUUAAAUUUGGAAGACUAACAAUGUUAUUGAUGAAAUAAAUCAUAGGCUGUAAAACUGUAAUAUUAAACAUUAAUAUUUCUCCUACCGAUGUACUGUGGGCAUGACAAUGCUUCAUUCAUAAGUGAACUACCAGAAUGUAGGAAGCCAGGAGAAUGAUUGAAUUUGAUUGCUUGAUAAUAAGUCAUACAGUAAACAAUGAAGUAAACGUCCGACUUUAUUACAUUUCAGGCCAAUAUCUACGUGACGCAAUCUUUUAGUAAUUCAUUACAUCAGUUAAGUAGUGGUGAGGAUAAGGCCUACGAGAAACUCAUUAGCCUAUCAACCUAUUAACAAUCUGGCAAAAGUGUACUGUAAUUCUUACAAGGCUGAUUUACACAAGUGGUGGGACUAGAUAACGGCUGACACCUAACACCUUUCCUAAUGGAUCUUGGGCUAACCAUGCGUCAAUAUUGCUGAUAAGCGAAUCAAGGGACAACAAUUUGUUAACAAUUUUUUUGUCAGUAAAUAACGAGGAUCCAUCGAAGAGCUCUCCUCCCCAUGUGGAACUGCUCAUAAUAUCUUUCCUUUCUUCCUCACUACCCGGCACCUGUUGGGUUCUAGAACUUGAAGACGCUGGAUGUUGUUUUUCCAAGCUCAUCAUCUCUGUUUAUGGACGUUUCCAAAGUGUCACGCUGAAAUUUAUUGUGGCCUCUUUGUCGUCAGAUCAAGCAAUUACUUGUACUUUAGCACAUCAGUUCUAUCAACUGCUUAUUAUAAGAUGUUACAAGAUUAAGUCCUGACUUUGAGAAAGCUAUCAGAUCCAGUUUCAAUCUAAUCAAAUGUUACAAGAUUAAGUCCUGACUUUGAGAAAGCUAUCAGAUCCAGUUUCAAUCUAAUCAAAUGUUACAAGAUCAAGUCCUGACUUUGAGAAAGCUAUCAGAUCCAGUUUCAAUCUAAUCAAAUUUUAUAAGAUCAAGUCCUGAUUUUGAGGAAGUUCUCAGUCAGUACUGUUAUUCUGUGAGAGGGCAAAAACCACUUGGUUACAUAACAUGAGGGCUUGAGUUUGAAUCCCAACUCUAGCAAAGUUGUGUUUGAUGAACAUCUAAAGUCAGCAUGGAAACCUUCUCCCAGAUACCCACUUCCCCCACUGGACAACAAAAGAGAUUGGACCAGACUGCUAUAAGCAGGAAAGAUCAAAUGGAUUUUUGGAAAUUAGGCUUCAAUGAAAACAGAUACAAUUGUUGUUAAGAUUGAUGAAUUUUCAGGGUCAGUGACAUGAAGACCACUGGAUACUUAAAGGUGUUGAAAUACUUUCAUUGAAAAAUAUCGUCUGUGUCAGUGACAUGAAGGCCACUGGAUACUUAAAGGUGUUGAAAUACAUUCACAAACAAUACUCUCUAGUAGAAGUGCCUGAUCACUCAGAGGAGACUUUGAAUAUAUAGUAUCUGACAAUGAGCUGCUUACUCUGAUACAGCAAAUAUAAACAAAGGUGUCUGCAGCCAUUCUUUAGUAGUACAUCAAGAACAACCUCAUUGAUCUAAACCACAGUGAUAAUAUCCCCUCAAAAAUUGAGAAUCUAUGGAUGAGAGCUGA
rnacentral:sRNA from 1 species